rnacentral:tRNA from 1 species
GGCGCCGUGGUUUAGUUAGUUAAAGCGCCUGUAGUAAACAGAAAUCCUGGGUCCGAUUCCCAGUUGAGCCU